GAGCGAGAAACCUUGAGAGACAGAGUGAAGGAAAAAAUGGAGAUGAGUGAGCGAUAGUAAAUUUUAGGGUUUUCGAUUAUCCCUACAAUUUUAAUCGAUUAAAAUUUUCUUUCUCUCUCUACAGUUUGUUGAAUUUGACCCCUUUUUUAUCAGUGAAUUCAACCGUGUAUUUUAUUUGCCCUCUAAAAAGCUUGGAUUUUCCGUUUUCCUCCGGUGAAGCGGUUGGUUUUGUCGAUUUUCCGGUGAAACAUUUUUUCUCGGUUUUGGUUUCCUUGGUAGACCGUUUGAUCCCUUUCCGAUCCCGGAUUAUCCCGAUUUUCCCCAGAAGGUCAUAUCUUUGAAUCAUAAUCGAAUCGCCGAUUCUAAAAAUUUUGAGCUUUUAGCGGCGUUUCAGUUCUGUAAAAUUAAAAUAUUUUAUUUAAAAAUAUUUGUCUUUUUUUCACUUGGAGCAAAGGUUCUAAAUUUGGGACUUCUAAGGGCUUUUGUGUUUUUGGUGACUUUGGUUGCACAAUUUUGAGGAAAGAACAAAGGGUCAUUAAACUGUAGAAAAAAGAAACAGCGGUAUGAGAAAAUGACCCAUUUGAUUGGAUAAAUUUGUUUGGGCUUGAAUUUUUUUUGAAGAAAAUAUAUAGUGAAGACAGUUUGCUUGAGCUUAAUUUACAAGCCUUUUUUUUUUUUUACUUCAAUUGAUAUUAAAAAAUUGUUGGAUUCAAUUAAUAUCUUUCCAAAUUCUGAUCUUGUUUUUUAAUUAUCAAACUCAAUUGAUCAUUUCCUAAUAUAGUGGUUAACUGCAAGAAAAAGUAACCAUUUUGACUUAAAAAGGAAGAGGAUUUAUGUAGUUUUAAGGUUGUUCCAAAAAAAUGGCAGUUUCCUUUCCUGGUUUUCCAUGGUGGUUUUGGGGUGGUGGAAGUAAAGAGAAACAACCUGUUUCAAAUGGGUCUUCUUUAAAUUCUCUGAAUUCUUCUUCUUCUGAUUGGGGGUUGGGGUUGAGAGAGUCUGAAACUGUUAAAUUCCAGACAAAAAUAGCCCCAAAGAAGGGAAAGGGAAAGUGGCAAGGUUGUGAGGAGAGGAGGGUGGUUGAUAAAGAAUGCGAUAUCGUGGUAGUUCCAUCAGAUGGUAUGCAUUCGUCUGGAUAUGAAUCAGAUGGUCCAGAAUGGUCCAUUGGGUGGGAAGAGCCCCACGGUCCUGGUUUUCAAGGUGAUGGUGAAGAUGAUGGUGGGUUUGCUGUGCUGGUUCCUUGUUAUAGACCUGGUUGCAAGGAAAUUGUAGAGGCCUUCAAUAACCAGCUCUUGUGUGCAAUCAGGAACCUCCCUAAUGGCUUAUCUUCUGUUUGCAUACACUUAUUAAUAUCAGACAAGUAACCAUCUGGAGCUGCUUGGUAGCAUGCCUCUGGACAAUAUUGCAAACAUUGUCGAUCAAUGAUGAACUGUCUGUGUGAAUAGCUUUUUAAGAGGGAAGCAACUCUAUGCAGCAGUGGUUCUCUUCUCUGAAAGGCUAGAACUGGCUGCCUGAAUGUCGAUAAGUUUCUGUUAAUAUUUCAGCCUUGGAGUAGUCUUGAAGAAGUAAUCUUAUUAUAGUAUCAGAGAAUAAUGUAAAAAGAAUAGCAAGCGAUGGUAGAGAUGAAACUUCUGAUAGAAUGCAGAGGAUUGACAUCCAUGGAGAAUGGAGAUGCACAGAGUAUGCUUUAUUCUCUGCUUCAAGAUGACACUUGUUGUCAGGAUUUUACUCUGUUUAGUUAGUCAUCCUUCCUGCUUACAUGCGUUGAAUUGAUCUGAGGAAAACCAACGAUAUGAUGGAGAGUCUUUUUGUUUUCUGUAAAUAGUAUUACUGUGAAUAUGCAAGAAAUGAUCCUUGCUUUUCAGCUCACAGCUACUGUGAAUAAUUUUGAUAUUUCCCCCGAGUAAUCUACCGUCCAAUCAAUUUUGUAAAUCCUUUUUUAACCUCUAUCACGAGGAUUAUUUUUCUUUUAUAUUUAGCUGCUUUCUUGUAUU